GUAGAGGCGGGACCUGGUGCUGUGGAAAGAGAGAACUCUUGCUCAUUCUUUCUAGUCAAGACCCAAGUGGACUCUUUGCUGGCUUUGAAAGGAAAGGCAUUUCUGGUUUGUACUUGGCAGGACUCUGAGAGCCCUAGGUAGGGGAGCCAGACACCACGUUACAGAGCCCCCCCAGCAGAGGCAGAGGGCGAGCGGCCCCAGACAGCAGAUGUAGAGGCCCGUCUCGGCUCCUCGGACUCGAACUCUGCUUCCAAAGGUGUCCGUCUCCACGAUGAGCUUUGCUGUCAG
rnacentral:lncRNA from 1 species